rnacentral:lncRNA from 1 species
UGGUAUUGUUGUAGUAUUGCCGUAGUAUCGAAGUAGUAUCGUAAUAGUAUUCUAGUAGUAUUCUAGUAGUAUUCUAGUAGUAUUCUAGUAGUAUUCUAGUAGUAUUCUAGUAGUAUUCUAGUAGUAUUCUAGUAGUAUAAGAGUAUGAGUAGUAUUAGAAUUAGAAUUAUUAUUAGAAGCAGUAGUUGUAGUAUAGGAUUAUUAUUAUUAUUAUUAUUAUUAUUAUUAUUAUUAUUAUUAUUAUUAUUAUUAUUAUUAUUAUUAUUAUUAUUAGUAGUAGUAGUAGUAGUAGUAGUAGUAGUAGAGGUUGCAUUUCUUGUUGUAAUAGCAGUAUAGAAGUAGUAGUAUGUAAUAGUACAUUCAUAGGGCAAAUCUAAAGCCACUGCUUGUUAUGCGCUUAAGUGGAAAAGUAGCCCAAGCGAGCUGUCCCAUUCCUUGCUAUCACCUCCCGCAAGUUCGUGUGUAACCACUAGGGUACAUAGGGCUUAUUGGAGUACGCUUUUCGUUAGCUAGGAGCUCCUUUCAUCAGCACCGUUUUACUCAUCCUAUAAGCUAUGUUUUGUACGGCUACAUAUAACGCAAGUUGUACUACAUGUGAACGGCAAUGAGGGCUUAUGGCUUAAUGGAUAAAGCGCCGGUCUACGGAACCGGAGAUUCCAGGUUCGAUCCCUGGUAGGAUCGGAAGUAUCGCAGAUACGGCUGUGCAGUCGCUCGAACGUGCAAAUCAUGCAGAAGCGUACCCUUGGGAAAAGAUGUUAUCUGCGGAAUUGAAAUGUUAAUGUAUGGUGUUAUGGUACAGCGGACAGGAUGGUCAAUCUCAUCAGGAUGAUCAUCAUCCACAUGUAUAACUUCGUGUAUCGCAAAGACUGAAGAUUUUAUGGGAAUCGACAAAGGAGUUCGGUGACGGAAUCCAUGUUGUAACCCUUUCCUUCAUAUAACGAGAUAGCCCUAUGGCAUAAAACGAGGGGUAACCCCCCCUUAAGCAUAACCCAGGGGUUAGGGGUAGGGGUAAGGGUAGGGGUAAGUGGUUACCCAUGUGGCUAUGUACGAAGGGGGGUGGGUAACCUAACCCCGGGGUAGGGGUAACCCCUUACCAAGGGGUAACAAAGGGGUAGGGGUAGCCCCUUACCAAGGGGUAACAAAGGGGUCGGGGUAAUAUUGUACUGAGGGGUAACAGACAGGGUAACCCGUGUUUACAAGUGUUCCUUGUCCGUAUGCCGGGCCAUAUGCUGGUGUCAAUGGAUUGUAAGUAUGUCCCUGUCCAACCUGCCUACACAUGCUAUCACAGCUGUCUCAUCCAUCUAUGUGAGCAC